CUUUAUUCUCUAUGUGUGUUUUCUGAUAUUACAUUGCUAAAUGAAAUUUUAACUUACAGCUGCAACUCCAUCCCCAAGAAUGCAAUACUUGAAGUCGUAGGCCUUCUUCCUGGUGAGGAAACGCCAGAAGACAAGCAAAGCAAUGACUGCUCGAGACAACAUACUAAAGGUUUUCUUCAACAUUCAAACAGAAGAAGGAGAGAGACAAACCAAAUAGAUCCACAAAGUCACAGGCUUUAUAUUAAUGACAAUAUGCAAUUAAAAG
rnacentral:lncRNA from 1 species